GACGAACGCUGGCGGCGUGCUUAACACAUGCAAGUCGAACGAAGUGGCGAACGGGUGAGUAACGCGUAAUCAACCUGCCCUUCAGAGGGGGACAACAGUUGGAAACGACUGCUAAUACCGCAUACUGAAGGAGGGGAUUGCGUGUUAUUAGAGAGUGGGGGGGGUAAAGGCCCCCCAAGGCGAUGAUCAGUAGCUGGUCGGAGAGGAUUACCCGCCACAUGGGGACGUCGACACGGCCCAGAAUCCUACGGGAGGCAGCAGGGGGGAAUCUUCCGCAAUUGACGAAAGUCUGACGGAGCAACGCCGCGUGAUUGAUGACGGCCUUCGGGUUGUAAAGCUCUGGUAUUCGGGACGCGGUACCGGAAUAGAAAGCCACGGCUAACUACGUGCCAGCAGCCGCGGUAAUAC
rnacentral:rRNA from 1 species